GCGAUAACUGGGGUGUUUCAGGACGUAAAAUGGAGAACACAGAAAUAUUCUUUACCAAAGUUAUGUCUAUCUAUGAUUUGUAUUGAUACAUACGCCAGCUAUCUGAUCAGGAAGAUCUUAUGUUGACUGAUUUAUGGUUAUAGAACUCAAUUUAGUUUACUGGAUUAAUGCAAUUAUGUGAAUGCCUGAAAUCCUCAGAUGGAU
rnacentral:misc_RNA from 1 species